rnacentral:rRNA from 1 species
GAUGAACGCUGGCGGCGUGCCUAAUACAUGCAAGUCGAGCGAACAGACGAGGAGCUUGCUCCUUCGACGUUAGCGGCGGACGGGUGAGUAACACGUAGGUAACCUACCUAUAAGACUGGGAUAACUUCGGGAAACCGGAGCUAAUACCGGAUAAUAUUUCGAACCGCAUGGUUCGAUAGUGAAAGAUGGCUUUGCUAUCACUUAAAGAUGGACCUGCGCCGUAUUAGCUAGUUGGUAAGGUAACGGCUUACCAAGGCAACGAUACGUAGCCGACCUGAGAGGGUGAUCGGCCACACUGGAACUGAGACACGGUCCAGGCUCCUACGGGAGGCAGCAGUAGGGAAUCUUCCGCAAUGGGCGAAAGCCUGACGGAGCAACGCCGCGUGAGUGAUGAAGGUCUUCGGAUCGUAAAACUCUGUUAUUAGGGAAGAACAAACGUGUAAGUAACUGUGCACGUCUUGACGGUACCUAAUCAGAAAGCCACGGCUAACUACGUG